UACGUAGGGGGCAAGCGUUGUCCGGAAUCAUUGGGCGUAAAGAGCGUGUAGGCGGCCUGAAAGGUCAGCUGUGAAAACUCGAGGCUUAACCUCGAGACGUCGGUUGAAACCAUCUGGCUAGAGUCCGGAAGAGGAGUGUGGAAUUCCCGGUGUAGCGGUGAAAUGCGCAGAUAUCGGGAAGAACACCCGUGGCGAAGGCGGCACUCUGGGACGGUACUGACGCUGAGACGCGAAAGCGUGGGGAGCGAACAGG
rnacentral:rRNA from 1 species